AUGAGAAUUGGUGGGUGUUUGGAAGCUGGGCCCUGUGACAGCUCUUGGACCUAGAACUGUCUAUCAGGCCCCUUGGCAGACAGGAGGCAUUUACCAAUCUAAAUUUUUCUUUCUUUCUUUCUUUUUGGUCCUUUUACCUUACCUGCUUUAUAGAUGGAAACCUUUCUUAUAGAAGCUGCGCAUCAGACCCAUGAACCUACAGGACAAAACAUUCUAUUCAAGGAGGGAACAGCAAGAAGGAAAAGGUCAACAUUCCUAGGGUCCCAUGGGAACAGAAAGUUUUGAGGGAGUUUACUGUUUGUGCAAGAUGACUGGUUGGGUAAAGAAGUCCAAAGUUUAUUAUCUGCAGAACAAAUAAAGCCUGGGCAAAGAGGGCGUGGGAAGCAAGUGGAGCCCCCAGGACUUGCUCUGUGACCUGGAGUCCCAAGGAUGGCCAGGCCAGCUCUGUAGAGGUUGGCUCCUUCAGUGUGGACAGGUGGAAUGCU